UACGUAGGGGGCUAGCGUUGUCCGGAAUCAUUGGGCGUAAAGCGCGCGUAGGCGGCCAGAUAAGUCCGGUGUGAAAGUCACAGGCUCAACCUGUGAAUGCCGCUGGAAACUGCCUGGCUUGAGUCCGGAAGGGGCGAGUGGAAUUCCUGGUGUAGCGGUGAAAUGCGCAGAUAUCAGGAGGAACACCAAUGGCGAAGGCAGCUCGCUGGAACGGUACUGACGCUGAGGCGCGGAAGCGUGGGGAGCGAACAGG
rnacentral:rRNA from 1 species